AAGCACUGCAAAAAAAAACAAAAGACGAAACGUAACUCUUAGAUACAGAGCGAAAAUGAAGUAGACUAAAUUAAUGCUAUGGGAAAAUGGAUCUGUAUGCUGCCUUCUCAAUGUGUGUGUCUGUGUGUGUGUGUGUGUGUGUGUGUGUGACUGAGUGCACUCACAGCUGCUUUGAUUAGAUUACAUGCUCGGCUCUUUCAUUAUACUCUGCUGUCCAGAUUUCAGUUGGAAUAAAGCCUGCGGCUUUGUUUUUGCGAUAUACUUGAGCAGAAUGCUGCAUGCAAAGUUCUUGCUCGAAGGACGAAGACAGGGACUGCAGCAGAGGAGCUGACAGGCGGCAGCAUGUGUAUGACAACAAUUUAUGAACGGUUUGGCGUUGAAAAUUUUUGGAAAAGGUUGAUGACAACACAAGUAGAAGGGGAUUGACUCUGCCACACACCAAAUAUGCAUAAGAGGCGGGUUUUUAUCAAAAGACUCUUCUCUUUUUUGCUGUGCAAAGUUUGCUGGCACAAAAAAAAAGAAGUGUUUUGUGGCUAAGCAAAUACUUGCUGACAGUCAAAUAUUUAAUUUUCGAUAUCUUAUCAUUAUCUUUGUAAUUCAACAGUCCUCUUUUCUUCCGGAUAUUGAGUUAUUUAUAUGUAUACACUUUCAUGCUGCAUACCAAUUGCAAAUAAACGCCAACUGACUUAAUUUUUGUCAAGAAAA